ensembl:snRNA U6 U6 spliceosomal RNA
GUGCUUGCUCGUCAGCACAUAUACUAAAAUUGAAACAAUACAGAGAAGAUUAGCAUGUCCCCUGCACAAAGGAUGACACUCGAAUUUGUGAAGUGUUCCAUAUUUUU